GAUUGUUGGUCUGUGUUACCUGGGAGAGUUUUUGUUUUUUAAGCUUUAGUCUCGACUUGAAGUACUCAGCUUAUGUGUAGAUUGCAAAUGGUUUCAUCAGCGGUUGGUUCUCAUUAUUAAUACUUUCGCAACUGAAGAAGGUAAGAUUUUAUUCUGAAUGUGUCAACAAAGUGAUAGAACCAGUCAAAUUAAUCUAUUGGGAUAAGUAGUGUACAGUCAUAUACUUGCUACAAAUCUUCAAGAUUCUCAACCUUACCUAGACUUCUAUGUGUUAAUAUCAGUAUCUUCUGAAUGUCUGGUAUGUAUUUAAAAGAUUUGGAGUAGAUUUGUCAAUUGAGUAGCUUUCUGUAUUUUAAAGAUUGGAACUUUUAAACUCAGGUAGGUUAGUUGAUGGUGAGACCAAAGACUCAAAUUCCAUCCUGAUUGCAUAAGUACCAGUGUAAGGGAACGUGUACACUAAAUCAAGAGUUCAUGUAAGAUGAUACUAUACAAUAAUGAAUUCAGAAUCAUAAAAAAGAAUUAAGACUCAGCAAAGAUCAUGUCAGGAUUAUGUAGGUUAACAGUUAUUGAGACUAGAGAGAUAAAUAGCAUCCUGAUUCCUGAUUGUGCAUACAUCAGUGUAAGGAAAGUAUGAGUAAACUAAGAGUUGGAUUAAGAUGAUAAAAACAUAUAACGAAAUUCUAUAUUACUUCAAAUAAAAAAUAGUAAUCAUGUAGUUAUUACAAUAUAUAUUGAAUCAUCAGAAUAUCAAAACCUCUUCCUAUUCCUAUUCCAGCAGCGUCUAGUAGCAGGAGGGUCAUUAGGAAGUUUAGGCAUAUCGUGGUGAUCAACCAUUAUGAUCCGUCUCUUGGCUGUCUUUUGCUCUGCUAACCUUUCCUCAAAUUUCCUCUUACUUGAUUCAAAUUUCUUUAUUUCAUUGAUGCUUUGUGUUUCUUUUUGCAUUGGUGCAGAGCUCUGUAUUGGUCUUGUAAUUGCACUGCAGUUGCUGUGUUGAUGAGGAGGGGCUUGUACUCGCUCGGUGGCCACAUUCAUCUUCUUCAAUGACGCUGGCAUGGUC
rnacentral:lncRNA from 1 species